rnacentral:rRNA from 1 species
AAGUGGAGCAAUCCAUGAGUAAAGUGGCGCACGGGUGAGUAACACGUGACUAACCUACCCUUGAGUGGGGGAUAACCUAGGGAAACCUGGGCUAAUACCGCAUAAUACCUUCGGGUCAAAGGAGCAAUUCGCUUAAGGAGGGGGUCGCGGCCGAUUAGUUAGUUGGCGGGGUAAUGGCCCACCAAGACGAUGAUCGGUAUCCGGCCUGAGAGGGCGCACGGACACACUGGAACUGAAACACGGUCCAGACUCCUACGGGAGGCAGCAGUGGGGAAUUUUGCGCAAUGGGGGAAACCCUGACGCAGCAACGCCGCGUGGAGGAUGAAGUCCCUUGGG